CAGUAGCCACGGUAAUACGGAGGGGGCUAGCGUUGUUCGGAAUUACUGGGCGUAAAGCGUACGUAGGCGGCUUUGUAAGUUAGAGGUGAAAGCCUGGUGCUCAACACCAGAACUGCCUUUAAGACUGCAUCGCUUGAAUCGCGGAGAGGUGAGUGGAAUUCCGAGUGUAGAGGUGAAAUUCGUAGAUAUUCGGAAGAACACCAGUGGCGAAGGCGGCUCACUGGACGCGUAUUGACGCUGAGGUACGAAAGCGUGGGGAGCAAACAGGAUUAGAUACCCCGGUAGUCCCUGUCUCUUAUAC
rnacentral:rRNA from 1 species